rnacentral:rRNA from 1 species
GACGAACGCUGGCGGCGUGCUUAACACAUGCAAGUCGAACGGGCCUGUCUUCUUUUUUGGGGGGUGGGUUGAGUGGCGAACGGGUGAGUAUCACGUGAGUAACCUGCCCUUCGGUCCUGGAUAACCGCUUGAAAGGGCGGCUAAUACGGGGUGGUCCGGUUGGUCCGCAUGGGCUGGUCGGGAUAGAUUCACUGUUUUUGGUGUUUCCGCGGGGGAUGGGCUCGCGGCCUAUCAGCUUGUUGGUGGGGUGAUGGCCUACCAAGGCGGUGACGGGUAGCCGGCCUGAGAGGGGGGGCGGCCAGACUGGGACUGGGCUACGGGCCAGACUGCUGCGGGAGGCAGCAGUGGGGGGUAUUGCACAAUGGGCGGAAGCCUGAUGCAGCGACGUCGCGUGAGGGAGGGAGGCCUUCGGGUUGUGAACCUCUGUUUCCGGUGGUGAAGGCCCUGUCCGUGUGGUGGGGUUGACGGUAGCCGGGGAUGAAGCGCCGGCUAACUACGUG